GACGAACGCUGGCGGCGUGCUUAACACAUGCAAGUCGAGCGGUAAGGCCCUUUCGGGGUACACGAGCGGCGAACGGGUGAGUAACGACGUGGGUGACCUGCCCUCAGCUCUGGGAUAAGCCUGGGAAACCGGGUCGUAAUACCGGAGUAUGACUCCAUGACGCAUGUUGUGGGGUGGAAAGCCUUGUGCGGCUGAGGAUGGGCCCGCGG
rnacentral:rRNA from 1 species